rnacentral:rRNA from 1 species
CGCACGGGUGAGUAACGCGUAAGUAAUCUACCCUGGCAUCUGGGAUAACCCACCGAAAGGUGAGCUAAUACCGGAUACGUUGAUUUAUCAAGAAAGGUGGCCUCUUCAUGAAAGCUACUGUGCUGGGAGGAGCUUGCGUACCAUUAGCUAGUUGGUAGGGUAAAGGCCUACCAAGGCGACGAUGGUUAGCGGGUCUGAGAGGAUGAUCCGCCACACUGGAACUGGAACACGGACCAG